rnacentral:rRNA from 1 species
AGAGUUUGAUCCUGGCUCAGAAUCAACGCUGGCGGCGUGCCUAACACAUGCAAGUCGAACGAGAAAGUGGAGCAAUCCAUGAGUAAAGUGGCGACCGGGUGAGUAACACGUGACUAACCUACCCUAGAGUGGGGGAUAACCUCGGGAAACCGGGGCUGAUACCGCAUAACAUCACGAGGGGAAGAUCCUUGUGAUCAAAGGAGCAAUCCGCUGAAGGAGGGGGUCGCGGCUGAUUAGUUAGUUGGUGAGGUAACGGCUCACCAAGACGAAGAUCAGUAGCCGGCCUGAGAGGGCGCACGGCCACACUGGAACUGAAACACGGUCCAGACUCCUACGGGAGGCAGCAGUGGGGAAUUUUGCGCAAUGGGGGAAACCCUGACGCAGCAACGCCGCGUGGAGGAUGAAGUCCCUUGGGAUGUAAACUCCUUUCGAUCGGGACGAUAAUGACGGUACCGGGAGAAGAAGCACCGGCUAACUCUGUGCCAGCAGCCGCGGCAAUACAGAGGGUGCAAGCGUUGUUCGGAAU